rnacentral:lncRNA from 1 species
AAAAUCAAGCAAUUAAUCGGUUAGCAAGCAAGGAAGCACGUCAAAAUGAUCUUAAGAAGGGCUGUAGAGUAGAUUAGAAAAGCAAUAAAAGACCAACAAUGUCAAUUGACUUCGAAUUAGCUAUUCAAUGCAAUGGACCCAAACUGUUUGUGAAAAUGCCACUGAGAAUGGCUAUUUCUGAUGCAGAAAACUUGGUUUAAAUCUGCUGAUCAAUGUUCAAUUCGGAUGUAUUGGUUCCUGAAGCCUUUUACUAUGCUUUCAUUUCUUUUGUAUAUUCAAAUCAUAUUGUUUUGGAACCAAGACUCUUACUACAUCCUUAAUUCAUCCAAUCAAUCAAGUACAAUUUUAAGAAAAAAAUUGAAACAAAUCUCGAUGCACUGCAAUGUUACAGCUUUUAACUCAAACAUCAACAAGUCAUGUAUGCAAAAUUGGCAGAACAGCAAUUGGCCAAGUCAAACAGUUUCAGACAUAUU